rnacentral:rRNA from 1 species
AUUGAACGCUGGCGGCAGGCCUAACACAUGCAAGUCGAGCGAGCGGCGGACGGGUGAGUAAUGUAUGGGGACUGCCCGUUAGAGGGGGAUAACUACUGGAAACGGUAGCUAAUACCGCAUACUAUCGGAUAACCCAUAUGGGAUUAGCUCGUAGGUGGGGUAAUGGCUCACCUAGGCGACGAUCCCUAGCUGGUCUGAGAGGAUGAUCAGCCACGCUGGGACUGAGACACGGCCCAGACUCCUACGGAGGCAGCAGUGGGGAAUAUUGGACGAUGGGCGAAAGCCUGAUGCAGCCAUGCCGCGUGUAUGAAGAAGGCAGUAGGGUUGUAGAGUACUUUCAGUCGGGAGGCGUUACCGGGAGAAGAAGCGCCGGCUAACUCCGUGCCAGCAGCCGCGGUAAUAC